GACGAACGCUUGCGGCGUGCCUGAGAAAUGCAAGUCGAGCGGGGUGUAGCAAUACACCUAGCGGCGAACGGUCGAGUAACACGUAAGCAACCUGCCCUGCAGUGGGGGAUAACAGCGGGAAACUGCUGCUAAUACCGCAUAGGCAUAUUUCUGGGCAUCCAGGGAUGUGUAAAGGCUAGACUGCUGCAGGAGGGGCUUGCGGCCUAUUAGCUAGUCGGUGGGGUAACGGCCUACCGAGGCGACGAUGGGUAGCUGGUCUGAGAGGAUGGUCAGCCGGAUCGGGACUGAGACACGGCCCGGACUCCUACGGGGGCAGCAAUCAGGAAUAUUGCGCAAUGGGGGAAACCCUGACGCAGCGACGCCGCGUGCGGGAUGAAGGCCUUCGGGUCGUAAACCGCUGUUGUGGGAGACGAAUGACUGUCGAUGAGGCAGUGGAGACGGUAUCUCACGAGGAAGCCCCGGCUAACUACGUGCCAGCAGCCGAC
rnacentral:rRNA from 1 species